AUUACUCUAAUAGUUUAUAAAAACAUUGGUC
rnacentral:tRNA from 1 species